CCUACGGGUGGCAGCAGUCGAGAAUCAUUCACAAUGGGGGAAACCCUGAUGGGGCGACGCCGCGUGGGGGAAUGAAGGUCUGCGGAUUGUAAACCCCUGUCAUGUGGGAGCAAAUUAAAAAGAUAGUACCACAAGAGGAAGAGACGGCUAACUCUGUGCCAGCAGCCGCGGUAAUACAGAGGGCUCAAGCGUUGUUCGGAAUCACUGGGCGUAAAGCGUGCGGAGGCUGUUUCGUAAGUCGUGUGUGAAAGGCGCGGGCUCAACCCGCGGACGGCACCUGAUACUGCGAGACUAGAGUACUGGAGGGUGAACCGGUAUUCUCUGUGUAGCCGUUACAUGCGUAGAUUUCGAGAG
rnacentral:rRNA from 1 species